rnacentral:antisense_RNA from 1 species
CUCUGAAAUGGCUGCACUCAAUAUCUCAGCAGGUUACCGCACAGAGUGUUGAGUGGGCAACUCAAUUAUUCCCUCACCUGAAGAAGUUUGAAAGCAAGCCAAAGAGAGUCCUUUUGCAAGAGUGAUAUACAAAGCCCUGCGGACAUACAGACUUCAUGUGCAAGUCCUAUGGAGGAGAGGAGAUGAGAGAGCAAUCGAGUCGAGGUCUCACUAGGAUGUCCAGGCUGGCCUCGAAAUCCUGGGCUCAAGCAAUCCAGCCUCUUAAAGUGCAGGAAUUACAGCUGCUGUGCCCUGAGGGGUGAGGGAAAUGUGGUCCCCUAAAACACCAUCAAAGGUUGCUGCUUAAACAUUUCCCUCAGCCAUAUAUGAAGGCUAAAUCAGAUAAAGACUCCAGGAAGUGUGCAACAGGAGAACCAGUGACAAAAUCUACCUUGGUAUGAGUGUCAGCCAUCUUGUCUUUCAACUGGAAAGCUAGAAGUGACGGCAUGGUAUAUUAAGAGAUCUCUGCUUGAAUAAAUUGAUGUCAAGUUUUAUUACAUAUAGACCAAGCUAGAAGGCACAAGACAACCACUCAACAACUAUGUAUUAAACAACAAAAUCAACGAAA